rnacentral:tRNA from 1 species
AGCUUCUUAGCGCAGUGGAAGCGCGCGGGGCUCAUACUACCCCGAGGUCCUCGGAUCGAGACCGAGAGAAGCUA